rnacentral:lncRNA from 1 species
GCUCACAGUCCUCCUUGGUUUGAUGCAGAGUGCAAAGCCAAGCGCAGAGCUCUGCGUGAAGCAGUUCGUAGUGGGCAGGCUGUGCAUGCUUGUGAUUUGGCUAGGAAGAGGUACAAGACACAUGUCCGCUGGGCUAAGCGGGUCUAUACCAGAAGACAACGAGACUUGUUCCUCAGCCAGUUUUAUGCUAAGGACCCUGCGGUACAUACUUUACUAAGGAAGCCUAAGAAGGCACAGCGCACUCCCAUUUCUGAGGAAGCAUGGAGUGAUUAUCUUCG